AUUAGUAAUAUGUUAGUCAAGUCAACAAUAAAAUUGUUGCACUGGCAUUUAGUGACAGUUCAGGAGAGCGCCCUUACAAGAGGCUCUGUAGGCAGAGAGUAGGUGACAUUAACCUUCUAAACAGAAGCCGCUGAACACCGAGUGCCAGAGUACCAAGAAGAAUUUAACAUUCCACUCCUACUGCCCUCCCCCACUUCCCGGCUUCAGCAAGGUGGUUUUAAAAUGAGGAGCACAUCCCGAGUGCUCUGUGUAGGUGGUGAAGUAGGCGGAGGUGAAAUGCAAGCUUUAUUUUCCCGGCUGCCUGUCAUCCGAUUCCCCGCUUUCCUCCGACUUUCAUGAAUGAUGAGGUCAUCCCGGUGCAGGAAAAUCAAACUCCUAUUUUUUCAAACCCAAUAAAGGCCAGCAUUGUACGUCUGCGUAAACAGAGAGGCCAGACGGGCAGGGUGGCGGGAGGACUAGUGGCCCGCCCUCUGGCGGCCGCGAGAGACAGCGUGCCCCGCGCUCCGCCGAGCCGCGACAGGGAGGCGGGGAGGGUGCGUGCGAACAUGACGCAGAGAUCCAUUACUGCGCGCGGCGGGGGAGAGGACGCCGCCGGGAGCUGGUGCGUGCCACACUGCAGCCUCGCAGGCUGCCCCGGACUUCCAGCCCCGGGUCGGCUCUGGGCGGGCAGGGGGAGGAUCCACACCGCCGAGCUGUGGCCCCGCUGCUCCCAGCCGCGCUCCCCCGGCGCGCCAGCUGAGGACUCAUUCCCGCCCAUUCCUUACCUCGAUGGAAUCCUUAGCCCUUAGAGAGAGGGCUAAAAAAAACAACAGACAGACAAACAAACAAACAAACAACAACAAAAAAACCAAAUUCGAGACGGCCCCGGGACCCUCCCGCAGAUGCAGGGCGCACUCUGGCCAGUUCUAACCAUAGAUGUGACUGCAUGUUGACAAGGGUUUCCAACCUAGCUUUCCCGAGGUACUGCAUGACUCAGUCCUUGCUCAGAUGGCGGUUGCUGUAAAUAGUUGCAAUUUCCCUCCUUCCGUCUCAAAGCACGGAUGAGAAUGGAUUUGCAGCGGAAACUGUGUAUUGUAUUUAAGGUCUUGGUGAGAUGGACGCGGGUUCCAUCAGCUCCAGACUUCCUGGGACACCUCGGCAUUUCCAGCACAUGUGUGUUAGCCUGCUGUGACCAUCUAGUUCCUAUUUAGAAAUGAAAGUCUCUCUCAGAUGUAUAAGGGGCAGAAAUUUUGGAGCUUGAACAGACUUUGGCAUAUGCUCAGAAUUGUAAAGUGAUGUAUUCAAGGCAACAAACAAACAAACUGACAAGGCUAGAAAUUGGACCUGAGGUAAACCUUGAGGGAGGUCUUCUGAUCCCAUCUAUUAUUCAAGAGGACAGGGAGCAGAGAAAGAGAAGAAGAGAGAAGAUAUUAUGGAAGGCUGUACCUGAAACAGAGAGCAAUUCUGAAGUUUUUUCUCCAAUUCUGGAGUUCAGAAGUGACCUACCCUCAGAAAUGCUGGAAAACAGACUUAGGUCUUUUGAGUCAAUUAUUACAACUAACAUUUGCUUAUUAUUAUUAUUGUUGUUGUUGUUCUACCUGGUUUGAAAACAGGAUUUAAAAUAAUUUGCCAAUGGUGAGAGCUCCUCUGGAGAAAGUUACAGAUGAGGCAGAUAGGAUGGUAAUAUAGAGGGUAAGAAAGUCUGUCAUUAGAAAGUUGAGAAUAUUACUGGCAGGGGUACAUUGGUAGUUGAAGGAAUUUCAGGACUAGGUGAUGUGGGCUCAUGAAUUACUCCACUCAACAGAGUAAAUGAGACAAGACUGGGCUCCUGUCCUUUGAAAACAUAAAAAGGAAAUGUUUCUAUCCUUUUCUAGAGGGAAAGUUGAUCACUGUCCCUUUUGUCCCCUCUAUGAUUGUUGAGCUAGUCCAGAGUGCCAAAGUAAGGGAAGAAAAAGUACGAGAUUAAUGACAAGAUGGGAUUCUGGAACUGAGAGCAGAGAGACCCAUCCCUUCCCGAGAUGCUCCUCACCCUUCCACUCACACGCUGAGCUACUGUAGCCAAACUUCACCUCUUAUAUGGGGAAGGAAAAACAUUUGAAUUUGCAGAAAGUCAAAGUCAUGAGAAGAUAAAACAAAUGUGAUGAAAAAUAAACGUGAUUUUUAUGUUUUA